CCCCGAUAUAUAUAGUGGAGCGUAGUAUGGCGCCGUCAUUAAUGGCGCAGACAAUUGAAGAAUUGUCAACUCACUGUAGACUGUCAGAGUCGCCGUGAAAGUGUCACAUCGCUUGGGGCAGUCAAAUCACUAGGGUUGACAAUGCCCUAGGCGGGAUAAUGCCCUUAGGCGGCAGUGCCGCAUGCUGCUGUCAGGACUGACAGUCUCUGGCAGUAGUACGAC
rnacentral:lncRNA from 1 species